UACGUAGGGUGCGAGCGUUAAUCGGAAUUACUGGGCGUAAAGUGUGCGCAGGCGGCCGCGCAAGUCGAGUGUGAAAGCCCCGAGCUUAACUUGGGAAUUGCGCUCGAAACUACGUGGCUGGAGUGUGGCAGAGGAAGGUGGAAUUCCAGGUGUAGCGGUGAAAUGCGUAGAGAUCUGGAGGAACACCGAUGGCGAAGGCGGGUCUCUGGGCCGAUACUGACGCUGAGGAGCGAAAGCGUGGGGAGCGAACAGG
rnacentral:rRNA from 1 species